CCAGUAGUUGUGGCUUUGCUCUCUUUCGAUCUAUAGUACACCACUACAGCCUCUAGGUGGCGCUAAAACACUCCAUGUGGGUUUGUAGAGAGAGGGUUGAUAUAUGCAAUUGUUGAUGUUGUUGCUCCUUGCAUUUGCAUCAUAAAACAUUUCUGAUGACAAUGAUUACAUUGAAGAUGAUACCAUUCGCGUUGAUAUAGAACGCAGAUCUAAUGAAACCAAUCAAGGGUGAUGGCGGACUAACUGUAGAUAGAUAGUGGUAUUGGGUAGACUUAUGGGCAUGGCUGGUGAGACCUAGUCGAGAGAUGGCUUAAUGGGGGUUUGGGGUGCUGUGGACAGGGGGAGUGUCCAAGUCAAGAGAUGGCUUAACGGGGGUUUGGGGUGCUGUGGACAGGGGGAGUGUCCUAGUCAAGAGAUGGCUUAACGGGGGUUUGGGGUGCUGUGGACAGGGGAGUUGUCCUAGUCAAGAGAUGGCUUAAUGGGGG
ensembl:lncRNA